AAGGAGAUGGCUGAGUGGUUAAAGGCGGCAGACUGUAAAUCUGUUAGAUUAAUUCUUACGCAGGUUCGAAUCCUGCUCUCC
rnacentral:tRNA from 1 species